GACGAACGCGGCGGCGUGCCUAAUACAUGCAAGUAGAACGCUGAAGGAGGAGCUUGCUUCUCUGGAUGAGUUGCGAACGGGCGAGUAACGCGUAGGUAACCUGCCUGGUAGCGGGGGAUAACUAUUGGAAACGAUAGCUAAUACCGCAUAAGAGUAGAUGUCGCAUGACAUUUGCUUAAAAGGUGCAAUUGCAUCACUACCAGAUGGACCUGCGUUGUAUUAGCUAGUUGGUGAGGUAACGGCUCACCAAGGCAACGAUACAUAGCCGACCUGAGAGGGUGAUCGGCCACACUGGGACUGAGACACGGCCCAGACUCCUACGGGAGGCAGCAGUAGGGAAUCUUCGGCAAUGGACGGAAGUCUGACCGAGCAACGCCGCGUGAGUGAAGAAGGUUUUCGGAUCGUAAAGCUCUGUUGUAAGAGAAGAAACGAGUGUGAGAAGUGGAAAAGUUUCAACAACU
rnacentral:rRNA from 1 species